rnacentral:rRNA from 1 species
GCAAGUCGAGCGGUAGCAUUUCUAGCUUGCUAGAAGAUGACGAGCGGCGGACGGGUGAGUAACGCGUAGGAAUCUACCCGGUAGUUGGGGAUAGCCCGGAGAAAUCCGGAUUAAUACCGAAUAAUCUCUACGGAGGAAAGGGGGCUUCGGCUCUCGCUACUGGAUGAGCCUGCGUCGGAUUAGCUAGUUGGUGGGGUAAAGGCCUACCAAGGCGACGAUCCGUAGCUGGUCUGAGAGGAUGAUCAGCCACACUGGGACUGAGACACGGCCCAGACUCCUACGGGAGGCAGCAGUGGGGAAUAUUGGACAAUGGGGGCAACCCUGAUCCAGCCAUGCCGCGUGUGUGAAGAAGGCCUUCGGGUUGUAAAGCACUUUCAGUGGGGAGGAAGGCGUGAUGGUUAAUACCCAUCAUGAUUGACGUCACUCACAAA